UCAGUCGACUCCUACGGGGAGGCAGCAGUGGGGGAAUAUUGCACAAUGGGCGCAAGCCUGAUGCAGCCAUGCCGCGUGUAUGAAGAAGGCCUUCGGGUUGUAAAGUACUUUCAGCAGUGAGGAAGGCAGGUACGUUAAUAGCGUGCUUGUUUGACGUUAGCUGCAGAAGAAGCACCGGCUAACUCCGUGCCAGCAGCCGCGGUAAUACGGAGGGUGCGAGCGUUAAUCGGAAUUACUGGGCGUAAAGCGCAUGCAGGUGGUUUGUUAAGUCAGAUGUGAAAGACCCGGGGCUCAACCUCGGAAAUUGCAUUUGAAACUAGGCAGACUAGAGUACUGUAGAGGGGGGUAGGAAUUUCAGGUGUAGCGGUGAAAUGCGUAGAGAUCUGAAGGAAUACCGGUGGCGAAGGCGCCCCCCUCGGACAGAUACUGACACUCAGAUGCGAAAGCGUGGGGAGCAAACAGGAUUAGAUACCCUGGUAG
rnacentral:rRNA from 1 species